AGAGCGAACGCUGGCGGCAGGCCUAAUACAUGCAAGUCGAACGGACCCUUCGGGGUUAGUGGCGGACGGGUGAGUAACACGUGGGAACGUGCCUUUUGGUUCGGAACAACUCAGGGAAACUUGAGCUAAUACCGGAUGUGCCCUUCGGGGGAAAGAUUUAUCGCCAUUAGAGCGGCCCGCGUCUGAUUAGCUAGUUGGUGAGGUAAAGGCUCACCAAGGCGACGAUCAGUAGCUGGUCUGAGAGGAUGACCAGCCACAUUGGGACUGAGACACGGCCCAAACUCCUACGGGAGGCAGCAGUGGGGAAUCUUGCGCAAUGGGCGAAAGUCUGACGCAGCCAUGCCGCGUGAAUGAUGAAGGUCUUAGGAUUGUAAAAUUCUUUCACCGGGACGAUAAUGACGGUACCCGGAGAAGAAGCCCGGCUAACUUCGCGCCAGCAGCCGC
rnacentral:rRNA from 1 species